CGAACGCUGGCGGCGUGCUUAACACAUGCAAGUCGAACGGAAAGGCCCUGCUUUUGUGGGGUGCUCGAGUGGCGAACGGGUGAGUAACACGUGAGUAACCUGCCCUUGACUUUGGGAUAAUUUCAGGAAACUGGGGCUAAUACCGGAUAGGAGCUCCUGCUGCAUGGUGGGGGUUGGAAAGUUUCGGCGGUUGGGGAUGGACUCGCGGCUUAUCAGCUUGUUGGUGGGGUAGUGGCUUACCAAGGCUUUGACGGGUAGCCGGCCUGAGAGGGUGACCGGCCACAUUGGGACUGAGAUACGGCCCAGACUCCUACGGGAGGCAGCAGUGGGGAAUAUUGCACAAUGGGCGGAAGCCUGAUGCAGCAACGCCGCGUGCGGGAUGACGGCCUUCGGGUUGUAAACCGCUUUCGCCUGUGACGAAGCGUGAGUGACGGUAAUGGGUAAAGAAGCACCGGCUAACUACGUGCCAGCAGCCGCGGUGAUACGUAGGGUGCGAGCGUUGUCCGGAUUUAUUGGGCGUAAAGGGCUCGUAGGUGGUUGAUCGCGUCGGAAGUGUAAUCUUGGGGCUUAACCCUGAGCGUGCUUUCGAUACGGGUUGACUUGAGGAAGGUAGGGGAGAAUGGAAUUCCUGGUGGAGCGGUGGAAUGCGCAGAUAUCAGGAGGAACACCAGUGGCGAAGGCGGUUCUCUGGGCCUUUCCUGACGCUGAGGAGCGAAAGCGUGGGGAGCGAACAGGCUUAGAUACCCUGGUAGUCCACGCUGUAAACGGUGGGUACUAGGUGUGGGGUCCAUUCCACGGGUUCCGUGCCGUAGCUAACGCUUUAAGUACCCCGCCUGGGGAGUACGGCCGCAAGGCUAAAACUCAAAGGAAUUGACGGGGCCCCGCACAAGCGGCGGAGCAUGCGGAUUAAUUCGAUGCAACGCGUAGAACCUUACCUGGGUUUGACAUGGAUCGGGAGUGCUCAGAGAUGGGUGUGCCUCUUUUGGGGUCGGUUCACAGGUGGUGCAUGGCUGUCGUCAGCUCGUGUCGUGAGAUGUUGGGUUAAGUCCCGCAACGAGCGCAACCCCUGUUCACUGUUGCCAGCACGUUAUGGUGGGGACUCAGUGGAGACCGCCGGGGUCAACUCGGAGGAAGGUGGGGAUGACGUCAAGUCAUCAUGCCCCUUAUGUCCAGGGCUUCACGCAUGCUACAAUGGCUGGUACAGAGAGUGGCGAGCCUGUGAGGGUGAGCGAAUCUCGGAAAGCCGGUCUCAGUUCGGAUUGGGGUCUGCAACUCGACCUCAUGAAGUCGGAGUCGCUAGUAAUCGCAGAUCAGCAACGCUGCGGUGAAUACGUUCCCGGGGCUUGUACACACCGCCCGUCAAGUCAUGAAAGUUGGUAACACCCGAAGCCGGUGGCCUAACCGUUGUGGGGGAGCCGUCGAAGGUGGGACUGGUGAUUAGGA
rnacentral:rRNA from 1 species